UUAAAAAUCCUGCAGAGUUAGCGACAGGCUGUGCAUCAUCUCAGCCCCAUUCCUACUGUCACUACUCUCCAUAUCUGACUCUUACGGAUGUAUAAGCACCCGACUUAGAGCUCUUCCAUGUGGUGCAGAAAUAAGCUAUCACCGGAAAAGCACGUGUAAAAGCAUUUGGCAAAGAAGGUUCUAAGAAUGACCAGCUGUAGAAUGGCCAUGACACCUAGAAUCCCAAGGGCAAUACAAAUCCGAAGGAAGUCAGCGGUCUAGAACGAAACUCAACUUACAAGUUUCACCUCUGGAUAAAACAACAAGAAGACCAUGCCGGUGACUAAGCAAAGACUAAGCAGCUGCUUUAGCUAAGAACUUAAGCGUUGCUGUUUUCACUCGCGCAGCUACAGUGCGUGUGAAUCAAAGCACCCACCUGGACGUAGGAGGACGUGGUUUUCCCUGCCCUGGAAGCACCUUUCUUUCUGCAGACACCCUCCGGGCGGGGUUCUCCUCACCCAUGCACGUGCUCUGUAAGGACGCCGCUGUGUGCUUUGUUUGCAAAACUUGUAUUUCCUCGUCCAAGCACCUUUGCUAUGUUUGCUUGUAUUACUCUGAGGCACUUAAUCAAUCAGAGAUCAUGCCAAUGAAAGACUGUCCCAAACACUGGAAUUUAGAGUGCCAGUAUCCACGACAGUCUGGUUUGUUUCUUCACAUUUCCUAUAACAUGAGAUAAUAAAGUGUAUUGUUUGGGAGAUUAAAGAAGCUACUCU